GGGAGGUAUUAGUACUGGCAGGGUGGCAUGACUAGUUAACUGUUGGUGUUGAUGGGUCGUAUAACCAUAAUAACAAGUAUAACUAACUUCUUUUACAGGACGUAUUAGUACUGGAGGGGUGGUGGGCAUCGUAAUUUCUGUGAUGGUGGCAGUGACUGUUCUGGCCUUCCUAGUCUACACUUACGCCUUCAAGACGCGAGCCCGACCCUCCAGGACUUCUCAUACCCAGAUUGACGGCACCACUAUAGAAUACUCAUCAGCAUAAGAAACCAUGUGUGUAUUAGAGUUUCAUCAGUCUUCAACAUGAGCAGCAAAUUAACAUUACGAGUCUUCAAGAGAAGAAAUAUGUGUGCGAAGAAUUGAAUUAACCUGACCCAGUGUUACUAUUAACAAACCACGAGGAGACAUUGCAACAUGGACAAUACUCUCAAAAUCGGAUAUAUCAGCUCAUCUUUGUACCAUUCAUAAGGUUUAUAUUAUAUGGUUUAUAUCAGCUUAAGCGACGACAGAGCAUUAUCCACGCUUGAACGCAGACGCUGUCUGAAAGAGGUUCAAUACUGAUAUAACGAAUAUAGAUUAUAACUUGGCAAAGGUUAAGCAGAGUUAGGUAAAUCAUCAUCGUAUAUUAAAUCUUCUGUUAUGAGACUGUGGUUAGAUUUUGUCUCUGAAUAAAACUGAACAGCUUU